rnacentral:lncRNA from 1 species
CCGAAAAACAAUUUACAAAAUAGUUUUAGCCUCCGGUAAACAGAUAUUGGGUUUCCAUUAUAGUAUUUCGCAAUAUUGCAUCAGCCGGUUACGACUAGUUUUAUCAAUACACAUAACAUUCUUUACUGUUUUAAGUAUUAUAACGAAAAAAGUGGAAUUUAAACAACUGAAAUGUAUUCAAGAAUUCUACAAAGAUAUUAUUAGCCAGACGAAUUACAACGUGAAAAAUCCAAGACUUUAUAAAGACAACGAACGUUUAACACAAAAUAUAUCAUCGGAAGACUUCAA